rnacentral:tRNA from 1 species
GAGCCAUUAGCUCAGCUGGUAGAGCAUCUGACUUUUAAUCAGAGGGUCGAAGGUUCG